CCCUCAUUAAUUUUAAGUCUACAUCUAGUCAACUUUGCUGUCUAAAAUCUUCUUCCACUUUUUUUUUUUUUCAAGUUUUAUGUGUACUCCCUUUAAUAAUACUUUUCAACUAUACCCUACUUCACACUUUGACUUGUUCUUCUCAAUUUAUAAUUCCAUUAGACAUGCUCCUACUUGGAUGGUCUAUAAAUAUGAUUAGGAUAGAGAAACUUAGCAUAUCAAGUAUCAAAUCUCAAAAUGAAAGCCAUUCUAGUGGUCUGUUUUCUCUUGCUUUCCACAUUUUUCAUUCCUUCUUCAAAUGCAGCUAGAGAUUUAGCUGAUCUAUCUGCAGUAACAGUACCUUCUCAGGAUCCUCAUAAGCCAGUAAUUACGUGUGGUCGUGGAAAGCCUUAUCGUGAAUGUCUACCCGGCCCCAGGAAGCCAUCUCCACCUAGCAAGUCCUACCCAUGAGUGUGGUCGUGGAAAGCCAUAUACUUAUGUAUUCCAAAGCCACCAAAACCUUGUUUCAUCUACGGUCGCGAAGGUUGCUCAUCACCUUAAACCCCUUUUGACUUUUAAAUAAUGGCUAUUAUAAAUAAGUCAUCUUUGUUUGAUGUAUUAUAUAUGGUUUGGGGUUUGUGAUGCCUCUAAUUCGCAGUGUUGUAAUAAUUUGCAUUCAAUAAGCUACGACCUUUUUCUUU